AAACUUUCCUUUAAUUCAUAAAACUUUCUUUUGAUUCAGAGAGAGAUUAAGAAGGAAAUUGAAAGGAGAAAAACUGGAAAGGAAAUGUUGGAUUAUAAAAGAAAACAAGAAGAAGAAUUAACAAAAAGAAUGUUAGAAGAAAGAAGCAGAGAAAAGGCAGAAGAUAGAGCAGCUCGGGAGCGCAUCAAGCAGCAGAUUGCACUGGAUCGUGCAGAAAGAGCUGCUCGUUUUGCAAAGACAAAGGAAGCAGAGGCUGCCAAAGCUGCUGCCUUGCUGGCCAAACAGGCAGAAGCAGAAGUCAAGAGGGAGUCUUCCACACGGGACAGAAGCACCAUUGCAAGAAUUCAGUUCCGGCUGCCUGAUGGUUCUUCCUUUACAAACCAGUUUCCUUCUGAUGCUCCUUUAGAAGAAGCAAGGCAGUUUGCUGCACAGACUGUUGGCAACACAUAUGGUAAUUUUUCACUAGCAACUAUGUUUCCCAGAAGAGAGUUCACCAGAGAGGACUAUAAGAGGAAGCUGCUGGAUCUGGAGCUGGCCCCCAGCGCCUCUGUGGUGCUGCUGCCAGCAGGACGGCCAGCCACAUCCAUUGUCCCCUCUUCUAGUGGAGACAUUUGGACAUUACUGGGAACGGUGCUUUAUCCAUUCCUGGCCAUAUGGAGACUAAUUAGCAAUUUUUUAUUUAGUAAUCCUCCUCCUGCACAGACUUCAGCAAGAGCCACGUCCACAGAGCCUUCAAACUCG
rnacentral:lncRNA from 1 species